GAUGAACGCUGGCGGUAUGCUUAACACAUGCAAGUCAUAGGGUAGCAUUCUAUUACUUUGUCCAUCCAGGUCGCACGGGUCGGUAGCGCGUCAGGAACAUCGUCAGCCGCAAGCUCUUGGAGGCGAACAUACCUAAUAACACUCUCUAACGUCACGCUCGCUCAUGCCGAACGCAUGAAAUGUUCCGCUCCAGGAGAGCCUUGCGCCCUCUUCGCUAGUUGGCGCGGUAACGGGCCACCAGGACGAUGAUAGGUAGCCGGCCGGAGGUGAGGAACGGCCACAAGGGGACUGAGAUACAGCCCUUACUCCUACGGGAGGCAGCAGUGGAGAAUAAUGGACAAAGGGGGCAACCCUGAUCCAGCAAUUCUGUGUGCACGAAGAAGGUUUUCGGAUAGUAAAGUGCUUUCAGCAGGGAAGAAGAAAGUGACGGUACCUGCAGAAGAAGCGACGGCUAAAUACGUG
rnacentral:rRNA from 1 species